rnacentral:rRNA from 1 species
AAAUGAAUUGACGGGGACCCGCACAAGCAGUGGAUUAUGUGGUUUAAUUCGAAGCAACGCGAAGAACCUUACCAGGUCUUGACAUCCAGCGAAGACCGCAGAGACGCGGUCGUGCCUUUCGGGGAACGUUGAGACAGGUGGUGCAUGGUUGUCGUCAGCUCGUGUCGUGAGAUGUUGGGUUAAGUCCCGCAACGAGCGCAACCCUUGCCAUUAGUUGCUACGCAAGAGCACUCUAAUGGGACUGCCGUUGACAAAACGGAGGAAGGUGGGGACGACGUCAAAUCAUCAUGCCCCUUAUGACCUGGGCUACACACGUAAUACAAUGGCCGUAAACAGAGGGAAGCAAUGGCGCGAGCCGGAGCAAAACCCUAAAAACGGUCCCAGUUCGGAUUGCAGGCUGCAACCCGCCUGUAUGAAGUUGGAAUUGCUAGUAAUCGCGGAUCAGCAUGCCGCGGUGAAUACGUUCCCGGGUCUUGUACACACCGCCCGU